CCACCAGGGAAGCCUGAAUGAUGGUCUUGAGCUAAUACUAAUGUAUCAGUAUCGGUUCAUUAAUCAUGAUGAAUGCAGCACACUAAGAUAUGCAACUUAACACUUCCUGGGACCAGGAUUCUUUGCUGUGUAACACUGGGAAGGCUUUCAGUGGUGGAGAUGGAGAAAAGAGAGAAGGAAACAUCACAGCAUAAUCAGAACAGCUUUGAAGACAGAGAACUCAGAAAAAGGAAAGAAGGG